GGACUUGUGGUUAUAUCCGAUCCACCCACGCUCACCCUUCGGGAGUGGUUGCUUCUUUGUCAGGUCAUUGUUUGGAGCACCUAGGGUAAUCAGACGUUGGGGCUUGGAGCUAGUGGCCAGAGAGACAUGGCGUCCGGGGGCCUCUACGCACGUAUGGAUGCAUUCAGGGGAAUGGGAAAUUGUUUCUGAAAAGGUGUGCAGGGCAUGUACAACAUGCGCGGCCCACUGUUGGGGGGUGUGUGAGAAUGCAAGACCUUUCCGAGAGACAUUCGUGUCAAGGUUUUGGAUCCUUCCCACAGUGUACAUUGCAAUAUCAAUACCACCAAGACGAAUAUAUUCCUCGAGCCAGCAAAGGCUCCAGGGCCCAUCAAGAAGGAGAGCCAAGAGUUCAAAAAGAUCUUCGGAUGGUUUAAUAUUAUUUUCACCAGCAGCUAUAGCGUCAGCAAAUGCGCAAGCAAAUUCCGGCCAGUACAAUACCGCGUAUUCGAAGAGCGGGCACAGCUCCAUUAGUUCCUUUCUAAUGUGGCUAGAUUUGGGAAUUCGGAAAUAUGCAUUAUUCUGUACUGAGGGUGCAUGCAGAACGUUUAGGCAUGCUGUUGCUAAUACCGCAUUCGAGCUCGUCACUUCGACAAAGUACUUCGCAAGGCUAGGUGGGAUAGUGAUAGAUUGCGUUAUUUUACGCUGCAGAAACUCUCUUGCGGACAAAUGUAUCAAGCGAAUAGUGUCUCCAUCGUCUAGUCCUGAAUAUUGCACCAGAGAACCGCAUGCUUUUACCACAUCUCUACGGGAAUAAAUAUAUGCCUCUUCGUAGUCGUCGUCAUCCUCGUACUUGGCACCUCGAAACUCAUCGAUCUGCAGUGCCUGGUCUAAUUCACACCAGCGCAAGGGCCGGAUACUUCCCACUACCCACUGAAACACCCGUUGUACAAAGUCUUGUUCUGCAAGAGGCUUUGCGUUCAGGCCCUCCAAUAUCUUCACAUAGAGCGCUACCAUAUCGCCCGGCAAUUGCAGGAGUGCCUGGCGGACUCUAGCCCCGUUUCCUUGCAUUUUGAUAUCUUUGCACAUCAGGUUUGACAUUCUGUUCACUUUGUGUCGGACAAAGGAGGCGAUGUCUCUUUUCACAUCAUCUUCAGACAUUAGGAUUGUCAUCGUCCUUGGUCCGUUAAUGACAUCCACGUGUUCGCCAGUCCUUCGGCUAGUCGCAAUGACAUGUAUGUCGGGGUGUGAAACCAGUGUUUUCAAGUCCUUACAGAGGGGCUUAACACCUACACACUCAUCAAGGGCGUCGAGAACGAUCGUAAAGGUGCAGCCAGCAUGUUGAACCGAGCUAGCAAAUACAGCUAACAUUUCCUCGUAAUCAACAUGUCGUUUACGGGAGGUAUUCUGCAACGCUGUUCGCAGGUUUUCAAUCUUACUCUCCAGCACGAAGCUAUAGAGUUGUUCGAGGAGAGAUCUCACAGCGGCUAAGGGCGUAUUUUUCGUCUCAUCGUCUGCUUUGAAGAAAUGAUAGAGUGUCAGGCAAGGUUUCUUGUGAUCCGUACCGCUCUGGAAAGUUCGCCGGGCCCGUUCAACUAGAAACGAGCUCAAUAUUGUCUUUCCCGCGCCGGGAAUACCAUAAAUCACCAAGAAUCGCGUGUCAGAGGAAGAACCAGACCAUAAUUUGAAUUCUUGUCUACCCAUGACCCACAUACAGGUGCCGUUAUGUCGCCUCGAGUUUGCCUUCUUUAGAUCAGUGGCAUAGUCUGGGGCUUUGAGCCAAUCAAACACACGUUGGUCGUCGCUUUCUAGUAGUAAUGUACCCAUAUUAGCAUAUAUCUACUCCGGACAUACAUACAGCAAUAAUACGUGAAGGGAAAGGGACAAUGAACCUACCCCGGUGCGACUGCUGAAACGCAUUCCAGAACUGGCUUGAAUUCUCAUGAUGCUGUGCUUGUGCUGCACUCUUUAGCAACAUAGUUUGCUCCUUGAGUUUGCUCUGUAACUGCUCGAAUUUGCCUUUGAUAGAAUACGACUUGAUAGAUAAUGAGCC
rnacentral:sRNA from 2 species